GUGAAUCAUCAAAUUUUUGAACGCAUAUUGCACUCGCUGGUAUUACGGAGAGUAUGCCUGGUUUAGGUUAAUUAAAAAGAAUCUCUAGCCAAUUUUUUUUGGUCAUAGGAUAUGAGUUCUCCGCGUUUAUAGCGGUAGCUUGAAAUAAAGGGUCAAGUCUCAGUUUAGUCGAGACGCGUAAUAAUAUUAUUUCGCGAAAUCUUCAUUAUGGGACUAUCAAGUUUUGAUGCAUACAAAUUUGGUGUGUAUGCGAUCAGUACAAAUAGUUUGAACAU
rnacentral:misc_RNA from 1 species